rnacentral:misc_RNA from 1 species
GGCCUUAUUUCAACUGGAACAACUUCAUCUUCUGAGUCACUAUUUUGACAUGAUUGUCCACAUGAUUUGCUUUUCUCUUCUGCUUGCUUUUCUUCGUUUGUAUCUCCAUUCUUAUCUUCACUAUGGAAUUGCUUCCUAUGCAGAAGUCCCUUUGGUUGGCCAGUUACCUCUUCUUUUUUAGUUUUAGUUUUCUGCUGCUUCCCAUUUCGGUGACCAUUAGCCCCGUCAUUCAAUCGCCCCUUUGGUUGGCAGCUAGGCUCUCCCUUUCCAGCUUUAGCCUGCAUUUCUUUCCAGUUCCGCAGCCCUUCCGAUUCAGCAUCUGCAUUCUUCUCCUUAAUUUUGGCCAUCUCUCGCAACCAUCUUCUUUUAGCAGAUUUUCUCUUGGCACUUCUACUGGGGCCCUUUUUUUUAGUCGCAUCAGAGUUGGGGGGCGCCUCUAUAUUCUCCACGCCAU